rnacentral:rRNA from 1 species
GUGCAAGUUCAUCAUCAUCAACAUCAUCAGCAUCAUCUUAAGUAGUAAAAACCGCGUAUUUGUUGUACACUGGUCAUAUCUGCCACAGUUUCGUUCGCUGGUGUGUAGUAAAAACCGCGUACACUGGUCAUAUCUGCCACAGUUUCGUUCGCUGGUGAUUUAAGAAGAUAGGGGGCGAUAACUUCACCUUAUAGGUGGCAGCUGAUGUGAUUGGUGCGCCACUACACGUUCGUCAGUGGGCUUUUCAUUGGAAAGGUCUGUAGAGGGGAACCAUGCAUUGAAAGUAGCAGGUUGGUUGCAUGCACGCCAUUAACCUUGCCCGUGGGACAUUUUUACCAGUAUCCAUAGCAAUUGAUGUGUUCCGACUGGGGAGCGCCAUCGAUGCAAACAGCAGUGACCAGUACAACCAAAUUUGCUGAUAACGGCCUUCACACUUCGCCUCCAAAUUCAUGCGACCACUCAAUAUCAAGAUUAUGAAGUUAAUAAGUUUAUCUAAAAUGACGAAUAAAAAUCAGAACUGUUACUGAACUACCGCAAGGGCAGCAAGAAUUGUUGCAUGAUGUAGCAUUCUUGAAACCUCGGAUCAAUGGAGUCGCCAACUCGUAAAAUCCAGGUCACCGUGGUGGCGCGAUUAUUGGCCCCGCGGGCAGCCCCCGGGAAACCUUUAAGUCUUUGGGCUCCGGGGGAAGUAUGGUUGCAAAGCUGAAACUUAAAGGAAUUGACGGAAGGGCACCACCAGGAGUGGAGCCUGCGGCUUAAUUCGACUCAACACGGGAAAUCUCACCCGGCCCGGACACUGUGAGGAUUGACAGAUUGAUAGCUCUUUCUUGAUUCGGUGGUUGGUGGUGCAUGGCCGUUCUUAGUUGGUGGAGCGAUUUGUCUGGUUAAUUCCGAUAACGAACGAGACUUUGGCCUGCUAAAUAGUACGCCUGUCCUCUGUGCUCGUGCAGGUGGCGGUGCUCAUUGCCUCUCUGGAGGUGAUGGUGCCGUUCGCCGGCGGGUGCGGCGCAGGUGUCUACUUCUUAGAGGGACAAGCGGCGUGCCAGUCGCACGCAAUUGAGCAAUAACAGGUCUGUGAUGCCCUUAGAUGUCCGGGGCCGCACGUGCGCUACAAUGACGGUUUCAACGAGUUUGGGAUCCUAGCCCGAAAGGGUUGGGUAAACUGAACCAUAACCGUCGUGACUGGGAUCGGGGCUUGCAAUUGUUCCCCGUGAACGAGGAAUUCCUGGUAAGUGCAAGUCAUAAGCUUGCGCUGAUUACGUCCCUGCCCUUUGUACACACCGCCCGUCGCUACUACCGAUUGAAUGGUUUAGCAAGGUCCUCGGAUUGGUGCCAUUGUAGUUGCUUCGGCAGCUCGACCGGUGCUGAAAAGACGACCAAACUUGAUCAUUUAGAGGAAGUAAAAGUCGUAACAAGGUUUCCGUAGGUGAACCUGCGGAAG